rnacentral:rRNA from 1 species
UGGGGAAUAUUGCACAAUGGGGGAAACCCUGAUGCAGCGACGCCGCGUGAACGAAGAAGGUAUUCGUAUCGUAAAGUUCUGUCCUAUGGGAAGAUAAUGACAGUACCAUAGAAGAAAGCUCCGGCUAAAUACGUGCCAGCAGCCGCGGUAAUACGUAUGGAGCGAGCGUUGUCCGGAAUUAUUGGGCGUAAAGGGUACGCAGGCGGUUUAAUAAGUCGAAUGUUAAAGAUCGGGGCUCAACCCCGCAAAGCAUUGAAACUGAUAAACUUGAGUAGUGGAGAGGAAAGUGGAAUUCCUAGUGUAGUGGUGAAAUACGGAGAUAUUAGGAGGAAUAACAGUAGCGAAGGCGACUUUCUGGACACAAACUGACGCUGAGGUACGAAAGCGUGGGGAGCAAACAGG